CCCAUUACCUCCUACCUGCUCAGGUAAACUCAGAGAGCGACAGAUGUACAGAGAAGAGAUUUCAGCAGUGAUGAAUUCAAUCAGGAAGUGGUUAAACAAACCAAAGAAGGGAGUAGAAAAUCAGCUAAAGAUUCGACCUUUGACCUCGGAGAGGAAACUUGGAGCAUCUGAUGAAGACACUGCUGUCACGGAGAUGCUGAGCUGCGCCCCCGCAAGGGAGAUCCUGACGGGAGACAGGGGACAGGAACACGAUGUCCAACAGCCUCUCAGAACAACAGCACACAGUUCACUGUUACAGGUCGAACCGGUGGCAGGUACCAGGAGACAGGCGCAAAUGGGGUCGACAGGAGGCUGUGACAUCACCAGUUUCAGUCCUGUAGUGGGCGGAGCAACAAAAACGCCAGUGACCUCUGUUGGACUCCGUAUUCGUCCUUUGCUAAGGGCGAGAGACGCUUGCUCCCUCCCCUCCUCUCCUCACCCAGCGGGGGGGGCGAGGCUUGCCUGCUCUCUGCCCGGCUCCCCUCUCCAGCGGGGGAGAUGCUGGAAGCCCUCCCCUUCCUCCUACCCUUCCUCCUCCUCCUCCUCCUCCAGUCUGUCCCGACUCUGGGUGGAGGAAGCUCUGCAGAGAAGCAAAAACCUCAAACAGAGUGAGCCUUGCCACCAUCUGCCAUGUUCCAGACAGGAGGGUGGGAGGGGGAGGUCGGGGGAGACAGAAGAGAAGGCUGAGCCGGAGGGAUGGAGUGACGAGGGUGAGAAAGAAGAUAAACAGGUGAGCGCUGUUGGCAUCAGGCUUUCGGAAACCGUCAUCUUCAGGCCGCUGACCUCGUCUCAGAUCUGUGGGGGGGAGGAGGAUCUGCAGUCACUGUGUUUCGAGUCGAACAUGUGGAGGUACUGCCUGCUAACUCCAUGUGUUUGUUUAAGGUGUCCGAGUGCUCCGCCAUUUGAAGCUGAACUCUUCUCAGACGAAGAUCUUCAGAAACACGGCCAGAAUUUGACACAGCCGGCUAAGGAGACAGAGGGGGACGGUGAGCUGAGUUCACCCAGAGACAGAGCUCCACAGCAGGGGCAAAGCUCCGGCCUCUACCCCAGUCUGAGUCUGUGGAGGAUCACACCUGUCUGUCAGACGGACUUGGACAGGAAACAGGAACAGGACAUUAAGCCUUUCCUGUCCUGUAGCCAUGGCAACAACACUGGGGAUCACCUUCCAAAACUCUGUGAGAUGUCAGAAUGAUAUCUUUGUCAGAGAAAAAUAGUCAAAAGUGGUCAAUCACCAUUCACUAUUUAUGGUUCUUUGGAGGUUGCUAAGUUUGGGUACGAUCCAGAAUCAAAUCACGGAACGAUCAUUUAUAGCCUAAAGUAAGAAGAACUACGUUAUGUCAUUUGCAAAAAUAUCAAAAUUGCGGACUAACUCACUUUAAUUGAUGAUGCCCGAGUGGCCAAAGCCUCCGCUGUGUGCUGCACAACUAUUCCUACAGCAACUUGACCCGUCGUCCUCUUGCUCGGUUUAAAUGUUUUCUAUUUGCUUUGGUGCUUUCAGAAUAAAAAAAGUAUGUUCUCCCCCAAAUUCGCUGCCCGCAGUCCCUUUGAACUUUGACCUGACCUUAUUUAACAUAUAUUUCAAGAGAUACACUGAACUACCUGUCCCUCAGCUCUCUCCCUGUCCCUCAACUUUCUCUACCCGUCUCUCAUUUGUCCCUCACCUGUCAAAGUGUGGCAGGUGAGGCUGCAGACUCUGUUGUGUAGAUAUGAGGUUGAUCCUUAAGCAGGUGUUUGACUCCUCCACCUGCACAGGCGAGAGUCUCACUGUAACCACAUUUUGUUUGCAUGCACUUUUAUUUCAGAUGUUCUGCAGGUAAGGCCAUAAAAGCUUUAACCUGCCAUGUUGUUAAUGUUUCUGCAGGUUGUGUUGGGGAAUCCUGCAGCUUCUGUUCCUUCAAAUUCAAAGUCCAAAACACACAAAACCAUCUUUGCAGAAACUGUGCCGAGGUGUUCUGUGGUCGCUGAUCGUGUGUCUUCACCUCAGAUUCAUCAGUUUGGUCAAACUGAAGUCUGAAACUGGACAGGUUACCCGUAGCACAGGUGUUCACUUCUAUCAGCACUUAUUAACCUGACAUGAUACAAACAUGAGGAAUGUAGUUAGUGAUUAAAGGAUUUCUUGUUUUAAUGAUACCCGAUUUAACAGUCUCCUAUCAGUGAUGAACAAUUUGUUUUUUGUAGAAAGUUGUCAGCAGUAUUUAAUGUUGAAUUAAAACAGUGCAAUAAUUUAAAAUCAAUGAAUAAAAACUGAGAGAAACUGUUGAAUUUGUUCGUCUUUCGUUUGAGUUAAAUAAAGCAGCUUUGUUCCUGUUUUUAAAUCAAAAGUCGUAUCUGUUUCUUUUUUAUUUUUUUAUUUCAGACAUUUUACAGAUAAAAAAAAAAGAUGUUAACAUUUACCAGAUUCUUGUCAUUAAUCACUUUAAUGUUUAUUCCAGUUUCCUGUCUGGUACUUCCUGUCCAGAAGGAAGCUAAAAGCAUGACGCUAACAA